rnacentral:rRNA from 1 species
GACGGCCUUUCGGGUCUGUAAACCUCUUUUAGUAGGGAAGAAGCGAAAGUGACGGUACCUGCAGAAAAAGCACCGGCUAACUACGUGCCAGCAGCCGCGGUAAUACGUAGGGUGCAAGCGUUGUCCGGAAUUAUUGGGCGUAAAGAGCUCGUAGGCGGUUUGUCGCGUCUGCUGUGAAAACCCGAGGCUCAACCUCGGGCCUGCAGUGGGUACGGGCAGACUAGAGUGCGGUAGGGGAGAAUGGAAUUCCUGGUGUAGCGGUGGAAUGCGCAGAUAUCAGGAGGAACACCGAUGGCGAAGGCAGUUCUCUGGGCCGUAACUGACGCUGAGGAGCGAAAGCGUGGGGAGCGAACAGGAUUAGAUACCCUGGUAGUCCACGCCGUAAACGUUGGGCGCUAGAUGUGGGGACCAUUCCACGGUUUCCGUGUCGCAGCUAACGCAUUAAGCGCCCCGCCUGGGGAGUACGGCCGCAAGGCUAAAACUCAAAGGAAUUGACGGGGGCCCGCACAAGCGGCGGAGCAUGCGGAUUAAUUCGAUGCAACGCGAAGAACCUUACCAAGGCUUGACAUAUACGAGAACGCUCUAGAAAUAGAGAACUC